UUNUGAACUGGGUGACUAGAGUGUNUCAGAGGGAGGUAGAAUUCCACGUGUAGCAGUGAAAUGCGUAGAGAUGUGGAGGAAUACCGAUGGCGAAGGCAGCCUCCUGGGAUAACACUGACGUUCAUGCUNGAAAGCGUGGGUAGCAAACAGGAUUAGAUACCCUGGUAGCCCACGCCCUAAACGAUGUCAAUUAGCUGUUGGGCAACUUGAUUGCUUAGUAGCGUAGCUAACGCGUGAAAUUGACCGCCUGGGGAGUACGGUCGCAAGAUUAAAACUCAAAGGAAUUGACGGGGACCCGCACAAGCGGUGGAUGAUGUGGAUUAAUUCGAUGCAACGCGAAGAACCUUACCUGGUCUUGACAUGUACGGAAUCCUCCAGAGACGGAGGAGUGCCUUCGGGAGCCGUAACACAGGUGCUGCAUGGCUGUCGUCAGCUCGUGUCGUGAGAUGUUGGGUUAAGUCCCGCAACGAGCGCAACCCUUGUCAUUAGUUGCCAUCAUUUAGUUGGGCACUCUAAUGAGACUGCCGGUGACAAGCCGGAGGAAGGUGGGGAUGACGUCAAGUCCUCAUGGCCCUUAUGACCAGGGCUUCACACGUCAUACAAUGGUCGGUACAGAGGGUAGCCAAGCCGCGAGGUGGAGCCAAUCUCACAAAACCGAUCGUAGUCCGGAUUGCACUCUGCAACUCGAGUGCAUGAAGUCGGAAUCGCUAGUAAUCGCAGGUCAGCAUACUGCGGUGAAUACGUUCCCGGGUCUUGUACACACCGCCCGUCACACCAUGGGAGUGGGGGAUACCAGAAG
rnacentral:rRNA from 1 species